AAGUUCAUUUCAAUUUGGACCUCAGCCAAAUAAUUCGUUUAGGCCUUAUGUUUAAAAUGAAUUAAGUCCAUCCAUUUAGCUGUAACUUAGGCUUCAUACUUAAAUUAGAUUAAGUCCAAAAAUUAUUCUAAAAAUAUGGGAAUGCUCGUGGGGUUGAGUAUGCCAUGAUGGUAUAUCAAAUACCCUAAUUGAGCAACAUAUGAAAAGUUAUUUACAGAGUUGAGUAUGUGUUUAAAAUUAACGUUAAAUUAAUUGUUUCACAUUUAGGUGAGACGUUUCCGGAGGAUGAGCGUAGCUAGGCGAGACUCGGGGGUUACGACCCUGCUACAUACUAGUGAGUGGGCUUUUGGUUUUCUAUAUAUAUACGUAUAUAUGUUUUCCAUUUUCCCAGAAAUGGUUUUAAAUGGAUUUACAUUUUUAAAUGCCAUGUCAAUUGCAUUACAUUUUAGUAUAUGCAUUAGUAAAUAUAUGCAUAUUAUUGCUUGACGCUGCGAAUGCCCAGGUAAGCUUCAGGUGAGUACAUAUUGAUGAUAGUGAUUGCAAUAUGUAUGGUUAUGUUUAGAUGCAUUUAGUGCUCAUUAUCCUGCACCUCGGUGUUAGUGCUCCGCCUGAGGCCAGGGCUUAACCUGCACAUGAUCGUUCACCUCCCGCACCACACGCUCACCUUAGAUCUAAGGCAGGUGCCAGCCUGUCGUACAGACCACAUUAGGUGGUUCUGACACAUAGGUGACUUGCGAUACUUCGCACAACCUUCACGUGAUCGUAGCACUUGAGCGUAUCUAUUUACACCUAGCCUGUCGUAUAGACCACAUUAGGUGGUUCUGACUCGUGUGCAAGAAUUAGUAGAUGAGCUAUAGGCUCAGCCUUACAGGUCACGUUAGGUGACUUUGGCUGACAUAUCAUUUUACAUUGAUUUAUUUCACCUGGCUUACUUAUUUCAUUACUGAGAUACUUGACAUGGCAUAUAGUUGGUUUUCACUACUCUCGAGCAUGAUUUCCACAUACGUAUGUAUUACUACUUUCUAGGAAAUUAUACGGGUUUUAUGGUGAGGGGUUAUUAUUUUUGGAAAGUGAAAUGGUUUUAAAAAGCUUUGUUUUUGGCUACUCACGUUUUCUGUUUUGCACCCCUCCAAGUUCUAGUUAGACGUUCAUGUUGGUGGCUUACAAGGACUCUGCAGUGGUUCUAACAAACUUCAAAUAAUGUAGGGAUUUGUUUCAUGUCUUGUAUAAUUAAUACUUAGCCUGCUAGACUGCACUUAGGUUACCUAUGCUUUCAAUACUUGCAUUACUACUUUAAACACCUGAUGCGAAAAUUAACUUCACACCUGAUGCGAAAAUUAACUUAACACACAAAUUAAACCCUCUUGUUGUCAAAUUGUAGUAUAAAUGCAAGUAGGGUUCAUUCUAAACCGGGGAUUAGGAGGGCUUGCUAAAACCUCUAAACUGACUUAAAAACAUAUAAACAAAGUUAAACACUAAACUAGACUCAAAGAACUUAAAACAAACUCAAAGGACUCAAAAUAAGCUAAAAACGCUCAAAUCUGCCUAAAAACACAAACUGGGCAGAUUUGGACUCUAACACACUUUUGGAAUACCUAAAAACACAAAUCAAAACAGAUUUUGACUAAUAAAACAAUUUAAAGUAAAGGGGGUUUUGGUUUUGACGAAUUUGAAAACAAAACAAGUAAAUUAAAGAACUAAUGAAAUCUGCACGAAUUUGAGUAAAUUGAAUGGAUGGAAGGCUAGAUAGGAGGUUCUUCUCCACACAUGACAUACUUGCACAUAAACCAAUUUUCAGUUGUUCUUUCGAUCAAUCAUGAAACUCAACACCCCAGGUUAAUUAAGUCCGCUUAAAUUAACCUUCAAGUUCUCCUUAAGUUAUUGAAUUGGAUGGGAAAUCGCAUACAACAAUUCAAGCAUUCUUCAAAAGUUCUUUAUGUGAACAACACAAUAAAGAUACAAUCAAAGAUCAUUAAGCAUUAUGAAAACUAUAAGUAUUGACGAGGUAUUCGUUACUAUGAUGAGCAUGAAACUCCUGCCAAGAAUUUAUUUAACGCGAUCGUUUAUAUGCGACCUCCACUACUUGUGAAUAUAAGUUUCUAACUAUUAGGUGAAACUCCCUUAUGCUCUAGCAUCAUAUUCAUGCAUGCAAACUAAGUGUGCACUCUUAAUAAACAUACACGAAUAAGUUAUCAAUCAAGCAGUUAAGCAAAUUGAAUUAACAACUUAUGAAAUCACAACUGAAGGUAAUCAAAUCAUAUUGCCAGCAUGAACAUGGUUUCGAAUUCCCCCCUAGCUAAGGGGGAUUUAGUUCCUCAUACUCACAAAGCAAAGAUAAACAAAUUUAGACAUUGAAAACAAAAGUAUGAAAACACCUAAAAACGCUCCAACAAUCCAACUUGAAUGGCAAGCAUGUCCAAAGGUCCUCCUUCUUCUCUUUGUUGCGGCACAAGGUGUGGUUUGAUGGAUGAGUGGUAAAUUAUGGUGGUGGAUGGAUAUAGGUGAGUUAUGGUGAAGGGUGGAUGGGUGGAUUGUGUUCUAUUUUUGGUUGGAUGAGUGCCACAGCAAGGGAAUGGAAUUGUAUGUGUUUGUGGGAUGUGGGAAUAUAUGGAUGAAUGUAAGGUCUUUUCUAAUCGAUCCUAGUUAUGGUGAAGGGUGGAUGUAUUUAUAGGCUAGGGAGAGGAGUGUAUGGAGUUGUAAUGAGUGGAUGUAGUGGUAGGUGAAUGUGUUGGGUGGAAUGAGUGGAUGUAGUGGUAGGUGAAUGGAUGUGUUGGGUGAAAUGAGUGGAUGUAGUGGUAGGUGAAUGGAUGUGUUGGGUGGAUGUAGUGGUAGGUGAAUGUGUUGGGUGAAAUGAGUGUGCUAAAAUGGUUAUUUAUAGGGAGAGGAUGAUGCACAAACUUCAAAUUUCGUCCAUUCCUUUUGCUCCAAGCAUAUGCUAUCCAUUCCAUGCCCAAAAAUGCUCCAAAAUGCACUUCUUUGCCACAUUAACCCUUUGGACCUACAAACACACGAAAAUAGCUUAAAAUACUAAAAUAACUACAAACUAACAACAUAAAUGCCAAGAAACAAGCUAACUAAGUCGCAUAAAUAUGCUUCUAUCAACACCUAUGCACACUUUUAUAGUUAUCUUAGUGUAAAUUAGUUAGUUUUGGUUUUUAAUUACUCACAUUUUCGUAUCACUUCCGCUCUGCGCUCAUGGCUACGUCACCCUCACGUGAUAGCCAGCUUGCCUCGAUUACGGUCGGCCUGCAUAUUUGGUGAGUAUUCUAAUCAUUUUGAUGUCUUAUGUCAGAACCAUGCCGCCUCGUAGAGGGCCAUAUACUUAUUCUGAGUCUAAUUUCCCAAAUAUUGCCUAACUUGGUGAAGCUAUUGCUAAUGUUAUUCAAUCAUCGCUACGUCCUCCCCAGAGAACCCCUUUGGAGAUUGUAUAUAACUUAAAGUUAAAUAAUUUUGUUGGUACUCAGGGAGCUGAGCGUUAGCUCAAUCAUGUUGAGAAAACCUAUCGAGUGAUACAGCGACAUAGGAAUUUCCCUGAGGAUAUAUAGGUCGAGACGACCACUUGGUUUUUGGGUGAGGAGGCUGCAUCCUGGUGGAGGCAGGAAUCUUUUCAGUUGUCAUCAGAAAAAGCUGCAGAUUGGGAGGUUUUUAAGCAUCUAUUCCAGAAGAGAUUUGUACCUCCAGAGUAUUUGGAUCGUAAGAAGGAAGAAUUCUCACAUUUGAAACAGGGGAAAAUGUUAGCUAAUGAGUACCAUAGAAAGUUUACUAAUUUGUCCUGAUAUUGUCCAGAGAUUGCUGAAAAUCCUGCUGAAAUGCUUGACGAUUUAAGUGGGGUACUCGAAAGAAAUGGCGUUCUAUGGCGACUAUAACUCCCUUUUCUACAUAUCAGGAGUUUUAUAAUUUCUACUUCGAGUUAAAGACUCUGAGAAUGCUCCAGAUAACAGUGAGGAGGAAGAAGAAAAAGAUAAUAGCCAGAAGAAAAAUAAUAAUAAAGAUAAAAGCCAAUCAUCACAAGGACCUUGCAAGACGCAGAGUUUUAAGAGAAGUGGUACUAAUUCUAGUUCUUCUAGUGGGGGCUCGAGUUCCACUGUGCCUCGGAGGGGCGGCCGUUCAUGAGGUUCCCUCUUUCAGAGGCAGAGAGAUUUUAGUGGUUUUGGUAGUCCAUUUGCCGUAGAUGUAAUAGUCGACAUUUUGGGGAAUGUAGACAGGGUAACAGAGGAUGUUUUGUUUGUGGUCAGACGGGACACCGGGCUAAUCAGUGCCCACAGAGCCAGCAGAAGCCCCAGCCACCUUCCUUGCCACCACCAGUUCCUAUUUAGCAAGUCUCACGGUCUAGUGGUUAUACCCUGAUGGGUAAUGGGGGUGCAUAUCAUUAUCAGAAAAUAUAGCUCCAUAUCAUGGAGGACCUUAUCAGUACCCACACGAUUCAUAUCACCAGGGUGGUUACGCUCUGCACCUAGGAGGUUACACGCCAUAUCCACCAUAUCCAGGUGGUGGAUCAUAGUGGUAUCCGGAAGGGUAGUCCUAGAACGUUGAGGCUGCUUCUAGCAGUGCUGGGUCAACUAGGCAGCCUAAUCAGCUUGGUCAAGGAUGUGGUUUGCAGAGACGUGGAAAUCAAGCUAACAGAGGUCAUGGAGGACGGCAACAGCCAUAAUUUCAUGUUCAUCACAUUACUCUGCAGGAUGCGUAGAGUAAUCCUGAUCUUAUUAUGGGUACGUUGAAUAUUCUUGGCCAUUUUGCUAGAGUAUUAAUUGAUUCUGGUGCCACACAGUCUGUUAUUUCUCAUACGUUUGCUCAAAAGAUGCAACCCUACCCUACACUUCUUGGUUAUGAAUUAGAAUUUUCUAUGCUUAGGGGUGAGACAUGUUAUGUUAGCUGGGCAUAUCAAGGAUGUCCUAUUCUGGUAGAGGACAUCGUUAUGCCAGCUAAUCUUGUUCCAUUAGAUAUUGUUGAUUUCGAUGUUAUUCUAGGCAUGGAUUGGUUACAUUACAAUCGUGCCAAAUUGGAUUGUUAUGAGAAGACAUUCACUUUCCAUCGGUCGGGCUUGCCUGUGGUUACCUUUGUGAGUGUUCGUAAUGGACUGAAACAUGACGCUAUUUCUGCCGUGAGGGCUAGAUGGCUAAUGAAAAGGUUGUCAGGUUUAUUUGGCUCACGUGGUAUUAAAUGAGGAUACUCCUAUCCGUGUGAAGGAUGUACAGGUAGUUAGGCACUUCCCUGAUGUUUUCCCUAACGAUUUACUUGGAUUACCACCAGAUAGAGAAAUAGAGUUCACUAUUGAUUUACUUCUAGGUACAUAUCCUAUUUCCUUAACUCCUUAUCAAAUGGCUCCUAUUGAGUUGAGGGAAUUGACCCAGUUGCAGGAAUUAGUUGAUAAGGGUUUCAUUUAGCCUGGUACUUUACCUUGGGGAGCUCCAGUUUUAUUUGUACGGAAGAAGGACGGGACUUUGAGGCUGUGUCUCGAUUAUCGACAGUUGAAUCAGGUAACGAUUAAAAACCAUUAUUGCCUCGUAUUGACGAUCUGUUUUACUAGCUUUGAGGUGCUUGCGUGUUCUCCAAGAUUGAUUUGAGAUCUGGGUAUUAUCAGUUGAAGAUCAGGUGUGAGGAUGUCUCGAAGACAGCGUUUCAGACUCGUUAUGGUCAUUAUGAGUUCCUUGUGAUGCCAUUUGGGUUAACGAAUGCUCCAAUAGCCUUUAUGGAUUUGAUGAAUCAGGUAUUUCACCCGUAUCUUGACAGGUUUGUUAUUGUUUUCAUUGAUGAUAUUUUGGUAUAUUCUAAAUCUAAGGCGGAGCAUACUAGACAUCUCACUCUGGUUUUGAAAAAAUUGAGGGAACACCAGCUAUAUGCUAAGUUUAGUAAAUGCCAAUUCUGGCUGAAUCAAGCGUCGUUCUUAAGACAUGUGAUAACAACUUAGGGUAUUCUGGUGGAACCACAGAAAGUAAUUGCACUUCAAAAUUAGGAGCAGCCGUCACCGAGGUACGGAGUUUUCUCUACUUAGCAGAUUAUUACCAACAAUUUGUGAAAGAUUUUUCAACCAUAGCUUUACCACUGACGAGGUUGACCAGAAAAGAUGUUAAAUUCGAGUGGGAUGAUGAUUAUGAGUGGAGUUUCCAGCAGCUAAAGUAUUGUCUCACUCAUACACUUGUUUUGGCACUUCCAGACGACAUUGGUAAUUUUGAGAUUUACAAUGAUGCUUUUUUGAAUGGUUUAGGCUGUGUGUUAAUGCAGCAUGGCAGGGUAAUCGCGUAUGCUUCGUGACAGUUGAAACCUCACGAGAUGAAUUACCCCACACAUGAUCUUGAGCUAGCAACUAAUAUUUUUGCCCUGAAGAUUUGGAGGCAUUAUUUAUAUGGAGAAAAGUGUAAGAUUUUCACAGAUCAUAAAAGCUUCAAGUACAUUUUCGCCCAGAAAGAUCUUAACCUUUGGCAACGAAGGUGGAUAGAAUUGCUCAAUGAUUAUGAUUGCACAAUUGAGUAUCACCUUGGUCGUGGAAACACAGUGGCAGACGCACUUAGUAGGAAAUCACAUGGAUGUAUCCCUCUUCUCACAAAAUUAGGAUCUACUGGAGUUGAUUUGGGAGUGGAGGAUCGGGAGGUAGCAUUACUCGCAAGUUUUUGAGUUAGACCAAUUUUGAUAGAUCGUGUACUCGAGGCUCAAAUGAAUGAUGAGGAAUCUCAAGAGUUUAUUCAGGCAGUUUCAGAAGGGAAAAAGAAAGAUCUUAGAAUUCGGGAAUUUGAUGGCAUGUUUAUGCAGGGAAGUCGGAUGUACGUGCGAAAUAUUGCAGAACUAAAGAAAGAUAUACUCGAUUAGGCACAUAUAUCGGCCUAUGCGAUGCAUCAUGGGAGUACCAAGAUGUAUCACACUAUUCGACCUUUCUAAUAUUGGCCUAGCAUGAAAAGAAAGAUUGCUGAAUAUAUGAGUCAAUGUGCAAUUUGUCAGCAAGUCAAAGCUGAGAGGAAGAAGCCUUUUGGAUUAAUGUAGCCACUUCCCGUUCCCCAAUGAAAAUGGGAAAAUAUUACCAUGGAUUUCGUAUAAAAGCUUCCUCGUACGUGAAAUGGCUACAAUGGCAUCUGGGUGAUAGUGGAUCGGCUUACCAAGUCAGCAUAUUUUAUACCAGUUCAAGAAAACUAUUCUUUAAGUCGAUUAGUUGAGCUAUUUAUAUCAGAGAUUGUUAAAUACCAUGGGGUUUCGGUUAAUAUUAUUUCUGAUCGGGAUCCUAGGUUUACUUCUAAGUUUUGGGUGGCUUUCAAGGAAGUUCUUGGUUUGAGAUUGCUUUAUAGUACGACGUAUCAUCCACAGACAGAUGGGCAAUCCGAGAGAACUAUCCAGACACUAGAAGUUGAGAUCUUCAGUACUACAGUUUGGCGACGCUUGGCAUAAGCGUUUGGAUUUGAUGAAGUUUGCCUACAAUAACAGCUACCAUUCUAGCAUCGAUAUGUCACCUUUCGAGGCACUUUAUGGUAAGUCAUGUCGUACUCCUCUAUGUUGGUCAGAAGUUGGUGAGUUGGUGUUAGUGGGCCCUGAGAUUGUUGAUGACACUACCCAAAAUAUUCAUGUAAUUAAAGCUAACUUGAAAGUGGCCCAAGAUCGACAUAAGGGUCUUGCCGAUAAAGAUGCCACUGAUAGAGUAUAUAACGUUGGAGAGUGGGUAUUUCUGAAGCUAUCUCCGUGGAAAGGCGUGUUGGAAAUGUGCCCUAAAACCAAUCAUAUGAUGAUACUUUACGGACAUUUCACAUGUUAAACUAAUCUAGUUUAAUAUCAAGGGCAAAGAUUAUUGUUUGAGCCGUCUCAUAUAAAUGUUAUAUGCUUAAACAAUAAGUCCAAGGAAUUUUUGAUUGGGAGAAUGCAAUCUAAAGAAGUUAGAUUCAUGAGACCAUUCUUUCGUAGACACAUCCUAAACGUUCCUGAUCAUAGGAUUGCCAAUUGGGCAUUGACAGUCCGUUAAGAUCAGUACGUGUUGUGUCUUCUCAGGGAGAGUGACUAGUCUCGAGUCAUUGGUGUGUAUGACAUCAAGACAAGUACGUAGGUGCUCAAUAGAGAAUGAGUUCACUGAACACGACCAACGAAGAGUUCUCAUAUUCAUGUCACAUGAGAACUCCUGGUUGGGAUAAUGCAAAGUAGUCCUUUGACCUGAGGCAUCAUAGUUGUCUUGUGGUUAAGUCCUUGAUCUUUGAUUAUGUCAAAAGUCACUCCAAAAGGAGGGUGUCCACGGCAUAGUUGGGGUUAAGCCACUUAGCUAUGGAGGCAAGUGAAUGUGCAACAAGGGAUCUCUAACCUUCAAACCGUUUGGGGGAGAAUACUCUAUGAUAUGAUUAAGAAUCUCUGGCCAGAGUAUGAAUGAGAUUUAGGAAAGUCGUUCCAAAUCACAUUCAAGGUAAUCAUAUAAGCACACGAAUCACAUUGGAUAGUAGACAUGACCAAACAAUGUGGUCAAGAGUAUUGUAUUAGAGAAAGACCGUAUUGCAUUUGUAAUCCUAAACUGAGUAGGUUCUCUACCUCUUCUGAUUAGCUUGGGUAACCAUGAUAUGGUGCUAGGUGUCACUCUUGGUUUGUGGAAGCCCUAAACGUGUAUAAACACUAAAGGGAGAAUUGAAAGUAAGUUUCAAUUCACAAUCGAUUUGAAAGAGUUUUAAUCGCCCACUGCCUCGCUAAAAGGAACCUAAUGGAUCGUACACCGUGUAAGGUGGAGAUUGAAGAAACAAUGGAGAUGAGUAAGAAUAAUUAAAUGGUUUAAUUAUUUAUGGUACGGAUUAAUUAAUAUGUUAAUUAAUCAAACGAAUAAGUUCGUUAAAGACCUCGGGAUAGUUUUGGACCUUAAGGCCCAAUGGGCUUCGAACGUCAAGCCCAUUGACUUAAGUUGUAUGACAAUUUAAUAAAUAAAGAUUCACAAAGGCCCAAAAGCCCAAAUCCCUUAUGUGGCCGGCCAUGUGUGUGUUGAAUUAGGGUUUUUGGUUCUUUAGGUCAUUUAAAGAAGUGACUAUAUAAAGAACUUUAUAGCCUAAAAUUUAUUAAGGGUUUCUUUUAGGAAAUUGGAGAGAACACAAAGCUCUCCUUUCUCUCUAAAGAGGCCGGCCCCCUUGGAGGGAUUAGCUAGCAAUCCCACUCCUCCAAGGCCACUCAUUUCUUCUCCAAUCUAACCUUGGUGUAGACACUUAGAGGUUCUCAAUUUUGGGAACUUGGAGAACCAUAUUCUUCCAUCCAAAUCCAUGGAUCUAAGAAGCAAGGAAUGAAGGCCCUCUCUUUGGGUGAUUAGCCUUUGCUUAUGCAAAGAGGAAUCUACAAAGAUAUAAAUUUCAACUCACUUUGUUUUGAGUUGAGUCUUGGUUCACCAAUCUACUAGGCUUUGAAUUUCAUGGGUAAUGUUUUGUUUUUGAGUGCAUGCAAGCAUGAUUCCGCCUUUAAUUGUUAAUUGCAUGCUUAUAGAUGUUGCUCAAAUGAACAUGUUUUCUCAAAAUCAUUCUUCAAGGCGUAGUACGGUUCGGUAAGAAAGGUAAGUUAAGUUCUCGCUACCGUAAUAGAUCACCAAACGAAUCGGUGAAGUUUCCUACAAACUUAAGUUACCCCCAGAGCUAUCAAAGGUGCACGGCAUUUUUCAUGUCUCAAUGCUUUAUCAUUAUGUCUCUUACCCAUCACAUGUGAUACCUCCUCAACCACUAGAAAUUAAUCCAGACUUGACAUAUGACGAGGAGCCAGUGACGAUUUUAGAUUGGAAUGAUGAGGUUCUUAGGAACAAAACUAUGCGCAUGGUGAAAGUUUUGUGGAGGAACCAUUCAGUGGAGGAAGCCACUUAGGAGAUGGAGGAUGGUAUGCAAGAUUUAUAUCCACACCUAUUUUAUGGAUAUUAAUAUCUAUUAUGCUAGUAUACAGAAAUUUCGGGGACGAAAUUUUCUUAAGGGGGUAAGUUGUGACUGACUUGUCUCGAAUAAAUAUAUAUUUUCUCCCCGUAUGUGUGAAAAUGACGAUUAUGCCCUUGUUGGCUUGGUGACGUGGAUGUACGUACAUAGUUUUAAAUUAUUUUCUCGCUCACGAAAUUAAAUGGUGCUCGACGUCAUGGGCACAUCGACCUAAAUUAAGAACGAGAAUGGGCAAAAUUCUAUUUUUGGAUUGGUUUAUUUCUUCUUUGGACCUAUUUUUUUAGGGCUUAAACUCUAUGACCCAAUCAAGGGCCUUAUUAUUUUUCCCUUCCUACCCGUGCCUCCCCUCACUCCAGAAACUUCCUUUCUCUCCCUCACACUCUCCCGCACUUCUCCCUCUCUCGGUGCUCUCGUCCCCGACACAACACACACGCACAUACAUACUUGCACACACUGCAACUAUCAAGACUUCUCCUUUUCUCCCUCAUAUCCCAUACUCACCCCUCCUCACCCUUUAAUAUUUUGUAGUCUCCGUGUGGUAACUCCGGCGAGAUCUCUAAGCACCUUAGACUGUUAUAAAAUUGUGUUAGGUUAGAUAAGGGUGUCUUAAGACAUUUUGGAAUGGUGUGGAUGCAGAAUCCUUGGGGAAAAUACAUUUCUUAAAUUUUCCGGUGAGUGAUCAUGAGUUUUAAGGAUUUUCCGACCGAUCGCGACGGCAACGCCACUCCACCUUGGUAAGGCUGAAAUCCUUACUCCUUGGUCUUCAUUUUGGCUUUUGAAUGAAGGUUUUUGUUUGAGUUAUGACCCCAAAUCAGAACCGAGGAAGUUUUCCGACAAGAACACCCAAAAUCCGGUGUUCUUCUUCAUAUAUUUUCCGGCGGGCCACAAUAUGUUUUGGGCCAAUUCGUCCUAGCCCAAUGAAGAGCCCAUUGUUUUAGCUUUGUAAAUUAGAACCCAAAUUUUAAGUCCCAAUUUAGUGGGCUGUGUGGUCAGCCCAAACCCAAGCCCAUUUCGAAAAAGAUAAAAAAAAAAAAAAAAAUAUAAAUAAUCUGUUAGGCCAACCCAACCUUUAAGUGCCUUUCAAUUUGGACCUAAGCCAUUUAAUUGGUUUAGGCCUUAUGUUUAAAAUGAAUUAAGUCCAUUUAGUUGUAAUUUAGGCUUCAUACUUAAAUUAGAUUAAGUCCAAAAAUUAAUCUAAAAAUAUGGGAAUGCUCGUGGUGUUGAGUAGGCCACAAUGGUAUAUUCAAAUACCACAAUUGAGCAACAUAUGAGAAGUUAUUUAAAAAGUUGAGUAUGUGUUUAAAAUUAAUGUUAAAUUAGUUGUUUCACAUUUAGGUGAGACGUUUCCAGAGGAUGAGCGUAGCCACCCUAGACUUGGGGGUUACGAUCCUGCUACAUACUAGUGAGUGGGCUUUUGGUUUUCUAUAUAUAUAUGUAUAUAUGCUUUCCAUUUUCCUAGAAAUGGUUUUAAAUGGAUUUAUGUUUUUAAAU
rnacentral:lncRNA from 1 species